AUGGCACCUGCGGACCUACCGUCUCCUGCACCGACAUCACCGUUCUCGCUGCCCGUGAUUCGGUCGUCGUGUAUUCUCAUUUGCAGUCUGGUGGAGUCCUACGAUCUGCUGCUCGGCCGCCUGGACAGCUUAUUGCCCAAUCGGUGGCAAGAGGUUUACGGCCAGCUCCCGCGUCCCACCGGAAGUGUUGACCAGCUCGUUGCCCACUUCGCUAGUAGGCUUGAUCUCACCGAACUCGAUCUUGUGGCGCUCUCCGGCGCGCACACCAUCGGCAAGGCUCAGUGCAGUGCCUUCUCCGACCGGUUCGGUCCUCGAGAAGACGGCGAGUUUGUACAGAGGCUCGCCGCGAACUGCUCCAGCGACGGAGAGCGGCUGCAGGACCUUGACAUAGAGACCCCGAGAGCAUUCGACAAUGCCUACUACCGAAACCUGGUGGCCGGGAAGGGGGUGCUCAACUCCGACAAGACGCUCAUGAAUGACCCGCGUACAAAGGAACUGGUCGAAGGCUUUGCUGCGGACCAGUGGUGGUGGUUCUUCAACCAGUUCGGCACAUCCAUGAAGAAGGUACCAUUGAUGUACCAAGCCGUCCCUGGGAGAUUUGGUGAGAUCCGCCGUUUCGGCUGCUUCAGACGCAACUCUGCCCCUAACCAAGCCUGA
rnacentral:rRNA from 1 species